rnacentral:rRNA from 1 species
UACGGGGGGGGCAAGCGUUGUUCGGAAUUACUGGGCGUAAAGGGCUCGUAGGCGGCCAACUAAGUCGGACGUGAAAUCCCCAGGCUCAACCUGGGAACUGCGUCCGAUACUGGAUGGCUUGAAUCCGGGAGAGGGAUGCAGAAUUCCAGGUGUAGCGGUGAAAUGCGUAGAUAUCUGGAGGAAUACCGGUGGCGAAGGCGGCAUCCUGGACCGGAAUUGACGCUGAGGAGCGAAAGCCAGGGGAGCAAACGGG